rnacentral:tRNA from 1 species
ACCUGGGUGGCUUAGUGGGUUAAGCGCCAAACUUUGGCUCAGGUCAUGAUCUUACAGUUUGUGGGUUCGAGCCCUGCUCCAGGUU